rnacentral:SRP_RNA from 1 species
GCUGGGCAUGGUGGUGUGUGCCUGUAAUCCCAGCUACUGGGGAGGCUGAGGCAGGAGAAUCCCUUGAACCUAGGAGGUGGAGGUUGUAGUGAGCUGAAGUCAUACCACUGCACUCCAGCCUGGGUGACAGAGUGAGACCCUGUCUCAA